CCUCUGUAUUUUUUUCUUCACUAGAUAUUUAAAAUUUUUUUUGAUUAAUUGUAUUAAUUGUGUAUAUAUAUCUUGAAUAAAAUUCAAGAGAGCCAAGAGGAUUUACAGUAAAAUUUAAGUCUACCUCUUUCCCAUCCUUAUUCCCAGGCAUUCAGUUUAUUGUGUAUCCUUUCAGAAAUAUUCUAUGCAAACAUAUUCUUUUUACUUUUUUUUAAAUGAAGAAGCAGCAUAUAAACACAUUGUUUCACACCUUUCUUUUUAUACUUACCAAGGAUCAUUCCACAGUGGUACAGAACAGAGCUUUCUAAAGAGUAUUUUUUAAAUUUCUGCACAGUGUUUCACUAAUGACUAUAUUGUAUUUUUUUAAAAACAUGCACUAAUUGGUGAGCUUGUAAUUACCCCUCCAAUCUUAUGCUUUUAUAAAAAAAUACAGUGAAUUUUCUUUUAUACACAGUAUUUCACAUAGAUACGAGUUUAUCUAUCAGAUAAAUUCCCAAGAAAUAAAUUGCUGGUUAAUCGCCAAGUUUCUUGGGAACUGUAUCAAUUAACACUCCCUCCAAUAAUGUGAGAUCGCCUGUGUCUCCACACCUUUGACCACUGUACUGUCAAGAUCCAGUCAGAAACCAUACCAACCAUUUCAACAGUCUCAUACAACAAAUUGUUAACUAGGUAUAAGGUUGUUAAGAAGAGAAUUAAAGACAAGAAGAGAAUACUAAAGCACCCACCAGAGAGGUGGUAAUUACAGAAAUCAGCCAUCAUCUCUAGGGCUAGGGGAACAAGUGAAGAGGUUGAAAUUAUUAAAGUUUAUGUUUGGAGGAAGGGCAUCACAGCAUUGAAACUCAGACCUUUGAGGAGGUGUAGAUGCUGCUAUGAGCUGGCAGUGGGACCUGGUGGCGCUGGGAUCGAACUUCUGGCAGGAGGACUGGUUGGAUAGUGAUGGUUCUCUGAGAAGGGGAACGGUGAGGCUGAAUCUCUAAGUGUUGAAAAGUGCAAACUGGAUUUGGUCGUAGCAGUGGCUAAGCCCUGGUGUGCUGUUAAGUGAAAAAGCUUUCUGUGAUGAUGCAAAGAGAAACGGAAAGCCGAUAAGAAAGAACAAAUCUCUUCUUUCUCUUGCAGCCUGCUACUCUCCUUCUCUAACUCCUGACAAGGAGCCAGGUGGAACAGCAGAGCUCGGGUGGUGGGGCAGAGUCCCAGAGCUGACAUCAUGGAGUACAGAAGGGUGGCGCUGGAGUCCAGUGACAAUAAGUCAAAAAGUUGCAGGACAACCUAGUGAUUUCUCAAACUUUUUGCUCUUAGUUAAUGCACUAGGUGAAAAGUCAUAGCUUGCUGUAAUGUUUGUUGUUGUGGCUAUUUGUUUUUGAGACGUG
rnacentral:lncRNA from 1 species